rnacentral:rRNA from 1 species
UACGUAGGGUGCGAGCGUUAAUCGGAAUUACUGGGCGUAAAGUGUGCGCAGGCGGCGUCGCAAGUCGAGUGUGAAAGCCCCGAGCUUAACUUGGGAAUUGCGCUCGAAACUACGGUGCUCGAGUGUGGCAGAGGAAGGUGGAAUUCCGCGUGUAGCGGUGAAAUGCGUAGAUAUGCGGAGGAACACCGAUGGCGAAGGCAGCCUUCUGGGCCAACACUGACGCUCAUGCACGAAAGCGUGGGGAGCAAACAGGAUUAGAUACCCCCGUAGUCC